rnacentral:rRNA from 1 species
CAAUAGCGUAUAUUAAAGUUGUUGCGGUUAAAAAGCUCGUAGUUGGAUUUCUGCUGAGGACGACCGGUCCGCCCUCCGGGUGAGCAUCUGGUUCGGCCUUGGCAUCUUCUUGGUGAACGUAUCUGCACUUGACUGUGUGGUGCGGUACCCAGGACUUUUACUUUGAGGAAAUUAGAGUGUUUCAAGCAGGCACACGCCUUGAAUACAUUAGCAUGGAAUAAUAAGAUAGGACCUUGGUUCUAUUUUGUUGGUUUCUAGAGCUGAGGUAAUGAUUAAUAGGGAUAGUUGGGGGGCAUUCGUAUUUAACUGUCAGAGGUGAAAUUCUUGGAUUUCGUCACGACGAACUACUGCGAAAGCAUUUGCCAAGGAUGUUUUUCAUUGAUCAAGAACGAAAGUAAGGGGAUCGAAGAUGAUUAGAU